AGCAUGUUAACAGUUUUUUUUGGGGGGGAGGGCGGGAAUUUCUUAAUAGAACAUCAUAGCAUCGCAACACUUUAUUAAUACAGUACUGGCUUUGAAUUAGUGGCUGAAAGAACAAUUGCACGAAGCCAGAUCAGGUGUACUGCAUAAUACUCAUACUUGAUUUAUUGACAUUACUUAGCAAUUUAUUGGACAAAGGUCAAACUUUUUGUUUUUUAUUAAGCACAUUCCACAGUACAAAGCUGUCAUGAAUAAUAUCUGUACAAUUUAACAGUUUUAAUAGCUGUUCAGACACAAAUUUAUUUCAAACAGAUAAUUGGCAAACAUAAUUAAUUACAAGUUAGAAUUAGACUAUCCCAGUGCUUUAAAACAUUAAUAUAGCAGUAAUUUACAGUUGCUCAAUUAUGGUUAGCAAAAUAAAGUCCAGAGUACGGCUGGGAAUUACUACUAUAAUCCCAGAAAGUCGGAAUUCCUUGGGUGCCAAAGUCCCCUGCUAUAAUUUAGUAGGCACAAUUCAAAGGUUGUGUGCAUAUUCAAAGGCCAUGAUCUCCCAAGGAACAGGAACUUCUAUAUUAAACAUGCAAAACAACAGAAAGUCCAUCCGUUCAGAAGCAGCGCCUCCUCCCCUCCCCCCUGCCCCGCCCCGGGCUCUCCUACCCAGCCUGCUGUUUAAGCUGUAGAAUGAAGAGCGGGUCAGUGAAAACAACUCGCAUAACCACCCUCAGGCUCACACAUCCACUGGAUGAAUGGAGAUGUAUUUUUUUAUACUUUGAGACUCCUCAAAAAUAGAAAUUAACUUAAUAACAUAUACGAGAGAAGGAUGUUAUUUUUUAAAAGGACAAAGGAAAACAAAACCAACCAACCCAAUAAGCAAUCACAGACACACAUUGAUCCCCACACCGUUCUUAAUGCAAAAGGACAAAGCAGAGCCCAGGUACCUUCCCCUCUGGGGAGAGUGUGCUCUCACGGGAAGAGGUUUAGUUAACAGGAGGUUCUCAUUGGUCCUUGAAAAUGUUAGCGACCUUCCUUGAUCUUUGGAAACAGUGGCAAAGGGCAAAUCAAAACCUAAUACUGGACAAGGGAAAAGGAGGGCCAACUGGACACCAACAUCCUUUCCAUGCGGGUCAUCGUGACAGUGCCAUUCACACAUUUCCGGCUGCAGAGCGCCUGGGAGCCAGGGGAGCUUGCUGGGGCCACGGCAGCAGGCACCAGGGAUGACAGGGAUGGGGUUCGUGAGCCUGAGGCUUCACACCUCCUGGGAGGACUCUUCCACUCAAGACGGGCCCCUGAACCAGCCUGACCUGGAACCCCGGGCUCCAACACACAAAUGGGCCCUGCCACCAACCCGAUCCGGGCAGGACGCACAAACGCUGGAGGUGGGGCAGUCAGUGAGUAGGUCUGUCUCAUCCUUCCCUUUCCAGGGUUACUAACACACAGAGCGUGACCUGGGAUGAGAAAUCAGAUGAAUGAAUGCCAUGGGAAGUAACCACGAAUACAGAGGAGUACUGAUGAAGAAAAGAACAACAAAAACAUUUAAGGUACCUCUCUUAUUGUAUAUACUGCAUGACAAACAAAACAUUUCGUGUUCAACUUCAGAAAUUACAUCUUAAAACAAGAUUCUCAUUAAAACACACACACCCCUCCCACACACGCACAAUGACAAUGACAAAAUGAAAACACUGUAUGAAUACUGCAGGAAGGGUUCCAGGUCAUCCACAUCGACCCUGGGAGCGGGUUCUUGAGCCCAGCCCAUGGUGAAGUGCGAACACACUGUGGAUUAGUGUCUCAGGCACGGGGGCCCCGACUCGAGCAACCUUGAGGUUAAACUGUUAUGUACAUUAUAUCUACAUGCGACACAGUAUUUUAAAUUAGGAGGCAAGCACACGUGUGAAGGUGUUACUCUACUGAAUAUCAGGAGAUGGUGGCGGGUACGGAGAACAGUUAACAGAAGAAGAAGAGCUGUAUCACCUGUUGGGAGAGAAUAUAACCUGGCAUAUAGUUCUUUAAAUUAAAAGAAAUUGGUACAGAAAGGAAGUAUAAUCCAAAAAAAUAUCAAUCAAUCCAGAGAAAUGUUUCCAUUGUCCAACAUGUUCCUAAUACAAGUCAGAAUUCAUCAUGACUUGGACGGUCAAAAGGAGAAUGCUAACUUCUGAAAAGGGAAGCCCUGGACAUUCUGGGUAGGUGUUUGGCACCCAAAUUUCACCGAAGAAUGCUGUUUCUUAAUAUCAGACCAAAGUGCAAAGCAAUAUAAAUUAGAGGCCAAGUCUUCUCUUGACGGUCGAUUUACUUCUGCAAAACAGACUUUACGUUCCUCUCAUAUGAACAAUUUACAUUUGAAGCGUUAGAUUUGUUUUCACUGGUAGGGGGAGGAAGUGGGCUUCUGUACUACUGAAAGUCGGUGAGGCUAAGGUAUCCUUCUCAAAGCAGAGGCCGGAAUCGGAGGUGAGAAAUAUCGGUACUUGAAGAGUUAGGCUGCUUUGCAUCUACCCAGCGUCUAGAACCAAUUCCAGCUUCUUAACUCAGCUGUGAAGAACUCCCUUAGGCAUUUGGUAGCCGCGUAGCCAGUAGUUCAAGACUAGGAAACCCUGGGAAAAAAAAACACAAACAAACAAAAAAAACCAAAGGGAGCAUGGAUGGAUAUUCUGGUUGGAUGUGAAGAUAUAUAUCACAGCCCAUACAUCUCCACAAAGACACAUACAUUGCUGUGCACACGUUAACACUGACUGUCAAAUAACCAGCAUCAAAACAGACGCUGCAAACUGUUUUGAGCAUACUACGUACCAGGCGUCACAUUUAUUUAAACCUCACAACAAACUUAUGAGGGAGCAGCUAUUAUACUCACUUAAAAGAGAGAACUGAGGCUCAGAAACAUUAUUUAGUUUAAAGCAUUAGCCCUUAUAUCCUGGGAUAAACCAUAAUGGAAAAGAAUAUAUAAAAAAGAAUAUAUUUAUGUGUAUAACUCAGUCACUUUGCUGUACAGCACAAAUUAUCACAACAUUGCAAAUAAACUAGACUUCAAGGGGAAAAAAAGCAUUAGCUUAAGUGACAGAGAGGGGAUUCAAAGAGAUGACUGACCCUAUACCCUAUCAUUUUUCACACUGCUAAAGGUUAUGCAUGUAAUAUAUGCUCAAAGUUACAUUUUAUAAUUAGCAUCAUCUUAAAUUUAUGCCACCCAGAGCCCACCAGGCCUCUCUUACGAAAGACCAAGAGCCUUUAUCUGUCACUGUAAAACAAAAAAUAUGUAAAGGCUAGUAAAUAAAGUAUUCCUUCUUUAAAAAAAAAAAAAAAAAUUGGCUGUGCUGGGAUCUCAGCUGCAGCAUGCGAGAUCUAGUUCUCCCACCAGGGAUGGAACCCAGGCCCCCUGCAUUGGCAGUGUGGAGUCUUAACCACUGGAUCACCAAGAAAGCCCCUAAAGUAUUCGUUCUAAAUAGAAUGCUAAUAGUCAGGAAUUACUCCUUUUUGAAAUAAAUCAUUUAUAAGAGGAAAACACAAUGCAGAGGGGGAGGCAACUGAAUGGUCUCUAUUUUUUUUGACCAUGAACUUGAGUGAGCUACCCAGGUGGCGCUACUGAUAAAGAGCCUGCCUGCCGAUGCAGAUGUAUGAGACAUGGGUUCAGUCCCUGAGUUGGGAGGAUUCCCUGGAGGAGGAAAUGGCAACCCACUCCUAUUCUUGCCUGGAGAAUCCCAUGGACAGAGCAGCCUGGCGGGCUACAGUCCAAGGGGUCGCAAAGAGUUGGACGUUUACAACUGAAGCAACUGAGCACACAUGACCUUGAGUGAGGAACAUGUUUUAAUCACAGUCUCUACACGUACACAAACACAUACACACACUCCUAAGCAGAACACUCACGAAACAAUACUUAUCAUUACUAUGAACAAUGCAGGUUCACACUUUAUAUCCUAAAUUUCACCCAAAGUCAAAAUCCAUCGAAAUGAUUUCACAACCACUAAUAAGUUACAAUCCUUUCCAAACACCACUGGCCUGGAAGAUCUAAGUUGCCUUUAGGUCUAAAACUCUAUGGUGUAAAAUAGAAAGAAAGAAAAAGGGGUGGGGGUUGUUUUUUAAAGCUUUUGAUUUGUUUUUAAAGCUUAUAUACUAUUUAAAGACAAUUUUCCUAAAAGAUUGGUAAUUUUCACUAAGACCAAGAAUCCUAAUGUUUCUCAAUAAAUUCAAGACAGAUUCAACUUCAUCUGCCACUAUUUUCCCCAUGAAGGAUACAAAGAGUACUUGAAUUAUUUAAAAAAUAUUAACACUCAGAGAUUAGAAGUCAGCACUCUCAAAUGCUACUAGUGGGAAUGUCAAGAGAUGUAACUCUUCUGCAGGGUAUCCCCAAGUAUCAAAGUCUUUAAAUGUCAUACUUUUCAACCUAGACACUGCAGACAUUUCUAGAAUUCUAUCCAAAGGUAAUAAAGGGUUGGGCAAAGACUAAGCUGAAAGAAUCAUGGCAAUGUGUUUUAUAAUAGCUAAAAGCUGGGAGGAAAAUAUAAAUAUAUAACAGGGCCAGAUCCAAACAAUCAAAUUUUAUUUUGCCAUUAGGAACAAUAAUUUAGAUAAACAGUGACCUUGCUAACAGGCAAUAAUUUCACAAUAAAGGGGGCGGGGAGAAGCACAGUUAUCAACCACAAUUUUUAAAAGCCUGAAAGGCUAUAUACAAAGGAGUUAAUAAUAGCAAACCGAGGAAUUUAUUCUCUUCUUUUGGCCUACCAACUUUUACUAAUUUCCAAAUAAUGAUCCUAUAUUGUCUUCUAAUAAAAAAGAGAGCUACUGUAUACAUAGCUCUUAGAAGUCAGUAAUUUUUUAAAAAAUGACUCAGCAAAUAAAUCUACUGCUUUAAUUUCCCAACACAGAAAUACUCUUACCUUAUAUUUUAGGGGUAAAUAUCUUACUGCAAGGUUAAAUCAUCAUUAUGGUAGUGCUUCUUAUUAUGCAUAAAUCUUACAGUAUCACAUGGUAAUAAUUUUUCCUUGUUACAAUAAAUGAAAAGAACUUGGAAAAGAGCAAUGAAAUUUAUAAAGUUGACCGCCAAAGUUGUCAAAAGUAGUUCACUUUGAAGAGACAAACACAUUUGAGGUUUCAAUGCUUGUGCUGCUUAAAAAGCAGAUAAGAUUUUUCCACUGAUUUGUGAUUGUGGAUCACAACAACGCAGUUGUUCUUAGGCUCCCAAAAAGGGGGUGAGAGGAGGGACUGGAAGAAGUAACACCUCAGUUUUCUUUCCACCAGAGCCAAUGAGAGAGUGAGCCCUGGUGAUCAUUAUUCCAUCUCUCAGUCAAAGGAACCAUGUUUCAGGGCAGUUUCACAAAGUCUAUAAAAGUUGUCCAAUUUGUGAAUGUUUACUAUGCUCUAUAAUUCAUCUAUCAAAUAUGCCAGAGGGGGGAGAAAACACACUACAGACGUCUUAGAUUUUACCAUGUGCUUCUCUAGUAGAGUGGCACAUUUCAAAACCACCAAAGAGAUACAUUUAAGUUGCUGUAUGAUACACCUCCUCCUCUGACCCUAUCCAUCUCAGGUCGGUCAGUUGGAGCUGUCCAUGUUCUGUUUUACGCAUAUCUCCAACACGGGAAAAAUAAAAGCAGAGGCACUGGGAUACAACAAAAGCAACGCAGAGAGAGAAAUGUAUAGCUUAGAAUGGAAGUUAAGAACGGAAUCAACUUAACAAAAGAUGUGCAAGACUUCGACACUAAGAACUGCCAAGGCACUGCUCAAGAGAAACAAGAAGAUUUAAAUAAUCAAGAGAUAUACUGGGUUUAUGGAUUAGAAGACUCAACAUUUGUUAAAGAUGGAAAUUCUCCCCAAAAUGAUCUUUAGACUCAAUGCAGUUCUGAUCAUAAUCCCAUAAUCUUCAUAGAAUUUGACAAUUUCAUUCAAAAAUGAGUAUGAAAACCAAAAGGACCUAAAAGAAUCAAAACAAUGUUUUUAAAGUUGACUUAUUAUACAGUGUGGUAUUGGCAAAAGGAUAGCCAUAGAUCACAGAACAGAAGAGAGGCCAGAAAAACAACUACAAACAAGUGGGGAAUUGAGUUUUUGACAGAUUACUAAAGCAAUUCAAUGGAAGAGGACAGUCUCUUAAUCCAAUAGAGCUGGAAUGACUAGAUGGCUGUAUACAAAACAAGAACACUGAUAUCCUUACCUCACACUAUAUACAAAAAUUAACUCUAAAGAGAUCAAAGACCUAAAUGUCAAAGCUAAGCUCUUACAAUGAUGCUCGUCCAAACAUGGUAGUCACUAGCUACAUGUAGCUGUUUUAAGUUUCAAUGAAGUAUAAUUAAAUAUAAUUAAAAAUCCAAUUCAAUUUAAAUGUAAUUAAACACUCAGUUCCUAAAUCAAACUGGACACAUUUCAUGAGCUUAAUAGCUACACACAGCUCAUGACUACCAAAGUGGAUGGUGCAACUAUGGAAAACUGAAAUCUAGUGAAAGAAAGGUCAGUGUUUGCUAAGGCUGCGGUGGGGUCAGGUUCUGACUCAAGGACACAAGGGAACUUCUGGGGGUGACAGAAACGUUCUUAUCUGGAUUGUGGAGGAAGUUGCAGGGGAAUGUAAAUUUGUCACACAGUAUACUUUAAGUGGGUACAAUCUGUUUUAUAAAAAUCACACCUCAAUAAAAUUGAUUCAAAAACAAAAAUGGAGAUUAGCGAAGGGAAAGGGCAGAGGGAGACGUGUACAUAUAGGCACCUGUGUAUAGAAGACUAUAUCUAGUACUUUGACUAUGCUAGUGCGGACAAUUUAUUCCAAUUUCUUACUGAGUUACUCUCUAUGUUUGUGGAAGGUGACUGUAUGAAUACACUGCAGUUUCUUAUGCACACUUACUUAUUUACGGUCAGAUUCUGGUUGGCUGAGCAGAAAGGGCACAACGAUGUCAUGCUGGCCCCAGGAGCCACUCGGCCAACCAAGGCCAGCAAGCGCUCACGGUGCACUGUGCGGGGUCAGACACUGGGGCUCCAGAACAAGAAGGAGCACCACAGCCUCGUGAGAGAGACAGGCGUGCACACCAUUUCAACGCCAAAGAAUAAACCAAGUCAGAUCAGGUGAAGGAGAGAAGGUGGGGUGCUGGUCUCUACAAAGCCCUGACAACGCAAGCAAGGGGAGCAAGGGGCCAGAGGUCUGAGGAGUAAUGAGGGAAAAGGAACAGAAUUCAGUCUGGUUGGAGCACUGGGUUUUUGGGAGGGAACAAUGAGAGGCUGAAGUGGGGGAGGGUAGAGAGGACAGCAGGUGAGAGCUAGAGGGUGAAACUCCUGGUAGCUGGUCCUAGCUAAGCCUUGUUCCUAAAGGUAGCAGGGCGGUAGUGCAGGGCAGAGGCAGGGCGCUAGUGCAGGGCAGAGGCAGGGCGAAGACAACCACAGGUGUCAGUAGGAUCAAGGGUGGCCGGAAGAGGGAGAAGAAAAUCCCAGGAAGGAAGGAGGAAACCAGUUUUCAUUCGGGUCCAUUCCUCCUUCCUCAUGUAUUUCUUUUUCUUUGGGGGAAGGAAGGCUGAGCCGGGGAUGAGCAAGCAUUCAAGAGAUCCUUGCCUUCUUCCUCUGUAAUUUCCUGUAAUUUAAUAAAUGUAAAAAGUGUGGCAUGUGAAUUUCUCAACUGACUUGUAAAGAAUCUAUCCAGAGAGAAAAAAAGCGAGGGAGAUGGCCAUUAUCACAAGAGACAGCAGGAACACACUUGAGACCAGGAUCAGCAACGAUGUAUGUGACUUAAGGGUCACUACCGUGGCUCAGCUCUUACAGCCGAGGAGGCACAGCCAACCCGUGGUGGCACUGAGUCCUCCUGGGUCCACGUGGGGUCCCGUCAUCCUUCCUACUGACCGGCAGUACUCCAACCAGGCACUGCUGCUCAAACCGAGUUGGCAUGAAGAAAAAACACACUGGCCAUUCCUGAUGCAGACCCUGGCUUCUCACUAAUAAUGGAAUGGGGCAAGACCAUAGGUCAGCAUACUUUUCUUAAAAGGUCAGAAUGUGUACAGAUUUUAGAUGCUGUCAGCCACAUGGUCUCUGUUGCAACUACUACUCAAUUCUGCCACUGAAGCAGGAAAAAAGCCACAGACAAUAGCUGUGGCUGGUGAGGGAGAGCGUAUAGAGGACAGAAGGUAAGAGCUAGAUGUUGAAACUCCUGGUUUCACAGACACAGACAUGACUGUUUCCAAUAAAACUAUUUAUG
ensembl:lncRNA